GCUUUAAAUUUUCUAUUUUAAACCCAAAUUUACUUUUUUACCUUUGUUUAUCUAAGGAGAGAAAGUAAAUAAGCUCUAAAUUUAAUAAAUAAAAAUAAAAUUUUCAACUCGCAAUCCUCAGGAUUUAUAGGAGAAAAUUAAAUAAAUAAGACCUAAUUUUAUUAAGAACAGUAAAAAUAGAAUAAAUUAAAGC
rnacentral:rRNA from 1 species